CAGAACGCAAACAGCAAUGCCAUUUCCAUCUUGAGGAAGUGUAAUGAGGGAACCAGCAAUGCUGGUUUCAGUGUCUCAGUUUGGCUGGAAAGGAUUUAAUCCUGAUGCUGCAACAUUAACUUUCUGAGCAUAUGCUGUGUCCCCGGGGAAGAUGACAGUCAAGGGAAUCUUGAACUUCUUGGAAAAUGAGAAAAUUAAGGGCUUCUUUUAAAAGCCAACUCCAAAGCACUGGUUAAUAGUUAUAAAAAUGUUUCACAGUGCUCCAUGUCGGCUUCCCCCUGAAAAUCCAUGAUAAAGAUUGAGCGUGGUUGAAACGCUUGUCAUGCGUAAGUGCUAAUUAGCCCCAGGAUGCUUGCCUUCAUGAACUUUCAGGCCUCAUCUAUAAGGUCAGGAAAGGGGUCAUAGCUCAUAGAAUAUGGACUUGCAUUAAUUCCCAG
rnacentral:lncRNA from 1 species